CUCUAUUUCAGUCAGGUUCGCUGGGGUGCCAGCCACGGAGGCGGGAGCCUGGGAGGACGCGGGGAAAUGGACUCAGUGGCUUUUGAGGAUGUAGCUGUGAACUUCACCCAUGAGGAGUGGGCUCUGCUGGACGAUUCUCAGAAGGAACUGUACCGAGAUGUGAUGCAGGAAACCGUCCAUAACCUGGCUUCUGUUGGGGAAAAUUGGGAAGACCAGAGCAUUAGGGAUCAGUGCAAAGCUCAGGGAAGAAGCCUAAG